UUUCUGUCAAGCCGUUCACGCACACAGUUUGAUCAAUCCAAGAUAUGCACCACACAGAACGCCUUGCAACGCAAUGCUGCAACACAAACGCCGCGUUCCAUUGGUGUACCAAAACGUUCCAUUGGUGUACCAAAAUGCCUCACGCUAUCGGUGAGACAUAGGCAUUUUAGCAAGCAUGCACAUGUAACGUAUGAUUGAUCACGGGGACCGAACCCACCAUCCUCGCGUUGCAAUGGCAAUGCUCUACCAACAGAGCUACAGAGGACCACUCACGUGAUGCUUGCAGGAGCCCAUUUCUAGCUAAACAAGAGGUGCUAGUUUGGUUAGAAGAGUGGCGAUUUUUCAACAACAAAACAAUACGAUGAGCGGUUAGUGUAUUUUACUAUUUCAUAAGUAACUAUAUUGGUAAUAGUGAAAUGAAAAAUGUAUUAACACUGAAUUUAUAGUGUAAAACUUACCAAAGUGAAAACGCAGGCUGAAAUAUUUUCUGUUUUUCUUUUUCUCCGAGGUUGUCAUGUGAUCGAAUUCGUGUGACGUCACGUGGCAGGAAGGACAUUUCCGCGUCCACGCUGGCUCCACUAGAGGGCACAUUCACAACAAACAUCGGACUGUAAUAUGUAUUAUAGUAAUAGACUACCGUGCACUGACCUGUCGCUGCAGUAAGUAAAUAUGGAGCUCAUUUCUAAUGUACAGGAGGUAGAUAACAUGUUAUAAAUACAUGAAAAUGGACCAAUCUUGAUGUUUCUCAAAAUGAUCAAUUGUCCCCAAUAGAAUGAUUAAAUCCUAUAACUAAGUUGAAAACAGAUCAGACGGGUGGAUAUUCAGGCACUGUCAGUGCAGGGCAUUCUCCCGAGCAUUAUGCUUCCCUGUAGGCAUGACUCUUCCCUGUAGGCACGAUGCUUCCCUGUCAUAUGUUUUGUCCCAAAUGACACCGUAUUCCCUAUAUAGUGCACUGCAUAGGGAAUAGGGUGACAUUUGGUACGUGGAUUAUUGUGAUGAUAGGAGAAGGGGAAAGAAAAAAGAGAGCAGACUCUAAUAAACCAGUGUCCAGAAGAGACUGUAUAGCCUCAGACAUUAAUGAACACAGUGUCCAGAAGAGACUGUAUAGCCUCAGACAUUAAUGAACACAGUGUCCAGAAGAGACUGUAUAGCCUCAGACAUUAAUGAACACAGUGUCCAGAAGAGACUGUAUAGCCUCAGACAUUAAUGAACACAGUUUCCACAAGAGACUGUAUAGCCUCAGACAUUAAUAAACACAGUGUCCACAAGAGACUGUAUAGCCUCAGACAUUAAUAAACACAGUUUCCACAAGAGACUGUAUAGCCUCAGACAUUAAUGAACACAGUUUCCACAAGAGACUGUAUAGCCUCAGACAUUAAUGAACACAGUUUCCACAAGAGACUGUAUAGCCUCAGACAUUAAUAAACACAGUGUCCACAAGAGGCUGUAUAGCCUCAGACAUUAAUAAACACAGUGUCCACAAGAGGCUGUAUAGCCUCAGACAUUAAUAAACACAGUGUCCACAAGAGACUGUAUAGCCUCAGACAUUAAUAAACACAGUUUCCACAAGAGGCUGUAUAGCCUCAGACAUUAAUAAACACAGUUUGCAGAAGAGGCUGUAUAGCCUCAGACAUUAAUAAACACAGUUUGCAGAAGAGGCUGUAUAGCCUCAGACAUUAAUAAACACAGUUUGCAGAAGAGGCUGUAUAGCCUCAGACAUGAAUAAACACAGACUGUAUAGGCUCCAUUUAAUCUCUUUCCCUGGAUAGAUGUGAAGGCCUUGUGUGUUGUCACAGCAUGCUGCUAGGGGUGUAGACUGUUGCAAAUCAAACAUGAUUAUAACCCUGAAGUGCUGAUCGUUCCUGGCAAUGUCUUUCUCUCCUGUUUGUUCUAGUGAAAUGUUAUUAUCUAUGAACACAGCUAUGAAUAAUUAAAUUAUGUUUUCCUUCUUCUCUGUACUGAACCAUGGAUGUGUCCCAAAUGGUACCCUAUUCAUUGUCUGGUGCACUGCUUUUGACCAGGGCCCCAUGUAGGGAAUAGGGUGCAAUUUGGGAGAAAGUCAAUGUGAUAUGCUUUCCUCCUACGGUACUCUGUACUGAACCAUGAAUCACAUCAAUUUCCCCCACUACAGUACAGUAUAAUAGGCCUAUCCUAUAUUAAUGAAGGGAGGUCUCUUUAGAUCUAAAAUCCAUUAGCUAGAGCCUUUCCAUGAACGUGUAACAGGGACCCCCCCCCCCCAAAA